rnacentral:lncRNA from 1 species
UAGAAAUAGAAAAUUAGAGGGGAGAGAAGACAGAACUAGAAGAGCACAUGCUCACACACACUGACAGAAACGCUGAGAGCUUAAAAGAGAGAAAAGGCGGCCAGGCGCAGUGACUCACACCUGUAAUCCCACCACUUUGGGAGGAUCAUGAGACGGACGGAUCAUGAGGUCGAGAGAUCGACACCAGCCUGGCCAACAUGGUGAAACCCCGUCUCUACUAAAAAUACAAAAAUUAACUGGGCUUGGUGGCGUGUACCUGUGGUCCCAGCUACUCGAGAGGUUGAGGCAGGAGAAUCGCUUGAACCCGGGAGGCGGAGGUUGCAGUGAGCCAAGAUUGCAUCACUGCACUCCAGCCCGGGGACAGAGCAAGACUCCAUCUCAAAAAAAAACAAAAAAAAAAAAAAAAAGAAGAGAGAAAGGGCUAAAAGGCUAAAAUGCUUUGUGUGUGGCACUCUAAUGCCCUUUAGUGCCAAGCCAGCACAUUCACACAGUUUAACAAAACACAGUUCAAAAAGUGAUAUUACGUGAGAACACUGAGUCUCUAAGGAGCUUAAACCAUGACGGGUAACUCUAUUAGGGAAGUCAGGCAGCAUAUGUAAAUUUUUAAUAGAUCUAUAAUAUGAUGGCAAUUAUUUUUAGUUUUUAAAGUGAAGAUUAUGUGCAUUUCAGAAAGAUUCAAAAUUUAAAAGUCAUGAUGCAUUUUAGCUUCACUUGCAGUCACCUGGAAUAUGAGCACUAUGUGGACUGGCUCACUCUCUCAUAAUAGGAGCGCCACACACACAAGUUGCUGCCAUACGUGGAUAGGCAUUACUCAGAAUUACAAAACGGAAUCUCUUGCCUUUCUCACGUAUAAACUCAUGAAGACAAUGUUUCUUACAAAAGCCUACAAAGCUUAACACAGCAUUUGCAAGUGGCUACCUCAUUGUUAGCAAUGUCUUCUUUGUUGGAGUAAGCAAGAAUUUAGGAAGAUGCCACCAACGCCAAGUUCCCUCUUCAUCCUUCACAGAACAGCACGCAAGUACUUCUCUGUCCUCUCCAGUUAGCUUGAGCGUCGCUCAGCAACUUAAGACUGUGCUCUUGGAUAUUAAAAUAAAGCUCACUCAAAAAAUAUUCCUAAAUAGGACACGACGGUUAAACUGGCAAUGCUAUAAAUAUUACAGGACCAAAGUGUAUUUUUGUCUUCAUUUCUCUAUGCCAGACACUGCUAAACCAACUGUGCACACACAAACUUCUUUGUUGUUGUUGUCAAGGAGAGUAUGCAGCUUCUUUAGGACUAUUUUAAAUUCGGUGCCUCAUUUCACAUAAAUAUUUACCCAAAGGAAGGUGUCUGACAGUGAAAAUCUGUACACCAUCAUAAUCCUUUUACACAGGGCAGCAUUUUUACUGUACCCUGAUGAAGGUAUAAAAAGCUCCUCCAUGGAAAUACCAUUAAGAAGACAGUGAAUAUAGAGAGUAAAAAAGGAAAGGUUAUCAUUAUCUCCAGAAGGUGAAGUUUAUAAAAAUAAAAUUUCUUUGUCAAGAGGCCCAAACAGAGUGCUCUGUGUAUGAAAUAUGCUCAGCUCAGCAAUCUCAAUGGAAAAAACAGAAAGUAAUGGUGACUUAUUUUUCAAUGCAUCUGAAAGUGAAGAAACUGAGGCUGAGUAUUCAAGGUCAACUGCCAAGUGAGAGCACAAGGAUUCAAACCCAGGCAAUCUGAUUACACCCUGGAGAUCCAGCAGUAGGCCAAGCCACUUCUCCUGUAGUUUAUGGUCUACUGUCUGAGGCAGACUUUAGACACAUAAGCAGUACACAUGUAGGUGCUCCAAAGGAAAAUUAGAGGAUAUUUUUGGAGAAUAUAACAUGGGGUCCUAAAAUGAGCUGUUAGGGAAGAAUGGAGACUAAACGACACUGGUUGAGAAUUAAUGAUGAGUAGGAGUUUGUCAGGCAAAGAGACCGGGAGUGUUUCAAGCAGGGGAGAGGUAUGUGCAGAGGUCCCAAGGCAGAAAAGAGUUUGUUCUAGUAAUGGAAAUGAAAGGAAAUGAGUGUAUCUGAAAUGUACUGAGCAAUAGAGAGAAUGAAGGGAGAUGUACUUGGACAUGUAGGCGGGGCCUUGCAAAACUUAUGAGGAAUUUUGUAUUUCAUCCUAAGUGCAGUGAAAAGUAACUGGAGAGUUUUACUAAAGACAAACAUGGUCCUGUUUGCAUUUUAAAGUCUUUGGGUUGCUGUUUGGAAAACAGACUGGAGGAUGAAAAGAGACAAAUUUGGGGGUCAUUGCAGGAGUCCCAAGUGGCUGAUGAUGAUGAUUAGACUACUGGUGGCAGUAAAAUUGGGAGAAAGAGAGUGUAUGUGAAGUGUAUUGUGGAAGUAGAUUUGAUGUACAAGACUUGGUGGUGGACUGGAUGAAGAGAGAGGCGCUCCAGACACCUCAUUACAGGCUUUCCUUAAACCACUGCUCAACUUCCUCCCACUUCUCCUGUGUCUGAUGGGGACCAGUCCUUUUCAGAGUUAACACCAGUGUAAGUAUUUCAUGAAAGAGAGGAGGACACCACAGGCUUAAUAGAUAAUUGUUAGUGAUCUUAUGUUUAAGAAGAUAGUAGUGAUGGAUAGGAUGGGGGAAAUGGAGAAAUAGAUGGAAGACAGCUGUCUACCCCCAUAGAACAGCUGUGGGACCAUCUGUUUGUCAAAUUUCCCAUACAAAAUGCUCCAGGCUGUGUACCCUGGGUGGUUAUCACGCUGCUGGAGAGCAUUAACAGUAAUGUCAGUGACCUGAGAGUUCAGUUUACGAAUAGUAUCUGAACACGGCCAUUUUGAUGGAAUUCUUUCUCUUUCAUUUUUAUAAGAGAAAAUAAAAAGAAUUAUCUUAAAAAAUAAAGAGUUCUUCAGGAGGCUAAGGCAAGAGGAUCACUGGAGCCCAGGAGUUCAAGAUCAGCCUGUGCAACGUAGCAAGACCCUGUCUCAAAAUAAAUUAAUAAAUAUUAAAUACAUUAAAUUGAAGAGUUCAUACAUAUACAGUCAUGCAUUGCUUAACGAUGGAGAUAUGUUUGAGAAAUGAACCCUUAGGCGAACAUCAGAGAGUGUUCUUAAACAAACCUAGAUGGUAUAGCCUACUACACACCUACGUUAUAUGGCAAAGCCAAUUGCUGCUCCUAGGGUAGAAACCUACACAGCAUGUUACUGUACUGAAUACCCUGGGCAAUUGUAGGAUGAUGAUAAGUACAGUUGACCCUUGAGCAACACAGGUUUGAACUGUAUGGGUUCACUUAGGCACAUUUGUUUUCAGUUAUAGUUACACCACAUGUGCCUGCCUCUCCUGCUUCCCCUUCUGUUUCCUCCCCUCUUCUGCCUCUGCCACCCCUAAGACAGCAAAAUCAACCCCUCCUCUUCCUCCUACGCAACAUGAAGACUGCUCAACAUGAAGAUGACAAGGGUGAAAACCUUUGUAAUGAUUCACUUCCACUUAAUGAAUAGUAAAUAUGUUUUCCUUGUGAUUUUCUUUUCUCUAACUUACUUUAUUGUAAAAAUACAGUUUAUAAUGUAUAUAGUGUACAAGAUAUUAAUAUGUGUUAAUCAACUGUUUAUGUUAUUGGUAAGGCUUCCAGUCAACAGUAAGUUAUUAAUAGCUAAGUUUUGGGGGAGUCAAAAGUUAUACGCACAUUUUAAGCUUUGUUGGGGGUUGGCGCCCCAGCGCCUGCAUUUUUCAACGGCCAACUUAUUUGUGUAUCUCAACACAUCUAAACAUAGAAAAGUACAGUGAAAAUAUGGUAUUAUAAUCUUCUAUGACCACCAUUGUGUGGUCCUUUGUUUACUAUCACAUGUAGCACAUAACUGUAUUAUUAUGUAUACAUUGAUUUAAAUACUGAUAAUUUAUAAAAAUUUAAAAAUCAAACAUCAGGUCCACGACAACAAAAAAUUAAGCAAUUAAGCCCAGUAUUAAUGAUUACAGAUUAGAGAGAUCAUGUUCCAAAACAUAUUUUUGGCACUCAUUCUGGCUGUGUAUAUUUUACUUGAAGGUAAUCAUUUCUGAGACUGGCUUAUUCAGCAAGCUGCUGUUAAAGUUAUUUUGCAAAAGAUUUAGACUCAGUCUCUUUCUACUCACACAUAUAGCAAUAAACUACUUCCCAGUGGCCUCACUGGGAGUCUCUAUGUCCGUAUCAUGGAAUUGUGUGUCUGAGUUUGGAAUUGAUUAACUAGAAUUUAUACAAAGAAGAGUGGCCAAAAUAGUGAGGGUAUUCUAAACUUUUUAAUAUUAAGAACAGAUGAAAGAAUGGGGGAUAUUGAGCCUGGAGAAAGCAGCUUAGGAUAACUAUCUUAACUAUUAAUAUUUUAAUAUAUACUAGAAAAGCUGUAAUGUGGAAGGAUUGAAUUUACUUUCUGUGGCUAAAAAGGGCAAAAUAAACACCGAUGAAUAAAGGACAAUGGGAAGCAAAUUUAUGUUCAAUAUAAGACAGGCUUUGCCAAACUGAACAGUUCAAAAAUCAAACAGUCUCAGAAGGUAGUAGCUGGUUCAUUGGCAUGAGUGGUAUCUUCAGAGACUAAAUGACCAUUUUUGCUUAAUGUUUUAUAAAGUUUGAUCAGUCAGUAAGCAUUUGGCUGAAGAUUCUAAAGUCUCAUUCUAUUUCUAAGAUUCCAUUGUAGAGUUGAUUAUGUCUCCAGUAUCCAUUCUCACCACUCUAAAAGCCAUAAAUUUCCAUUUGAUGACUUGUGUAGUUCACUGGCAUUGCAUUGUGGAGUGGUGGGAAGGGGUUUGAAGCUAGGCUAAGUAUUUGGUGCAUUUCAUUUCUCUGGCUACAGUGAUUGGGUUGGGGUGAGCAUGUAAUUUAAUCCAGUUCUGAUGUCUUGAGAAUUCUGGGACUAAUAUGCUUUCUUCCCAUGAGUUAUGCAUUGAGAAGUAUGUAGUCUCUACAGUAACUGGUAGUCAUCUUAGAACCACAGGAGAGAUCUUGCCUAGAAUGAAGUCAGCAACAAGGAAACCAAGCAAAGAAUUGAAGAGAGAAAGACCUGGACCUGAUCACAUCACGAGACUAGUAGAUCCAGCCUUUUCGAAGCCAGGUGUCCCAAUGGACUUUUCGAUUACACGGGUCAGUGGAGUCUCCUUUUGAUUUAAGCUGUUUAAGUGUAUUUUUCACACAUGCAAAUAAAUUAUUCCUGAUUCUUAUCCAAUUAUGUGUAAAGUAGUAUCCCAUUCUCAGAAAGUGAAAAGAGACCAACUGCAGUCUGCAUACAAGGGUCUACACAGCAAUCAAGAGAUCUCG